rnacentral:rRNA from 1 species
UCCGGGGGGGGCAAGCGUUGUUCGGAAUUACUGGGCGUAAAGGGCUCGUAGGCGGCCAACUAAGUCAGACGUGAAAUCCCUCGGCUUAACCGGGGAACUGCGUCUGAUACUGGAUGGCUAGAGGUUGGGAGAGGGAUGCGGAAUUCCAGGUGUAGCGGUGAAAUGCGUAGAUAUCUGGAGGAACACCGGUGGCGAAGGCGGCAUCCUGGACCAAUUCUGACGCUGAGGAGCGAAGGCCAGGGGAGCAAAUGGG